UACGGAGGGUGCAAGCGUUAAUCGGAAUUACUGGGCGUAAAGCGCACGUAGGUGGUUUACUAAGCCAGCUGUGAAAUCCCCGGGCUCAACCUGGGCACUGCAGUUGGAACUGGUAAGCUAGAGUAGGGUAGAGGGGUGUGGAAUUCCAGGUGUAGUGGUGAAAUGCGUAGAUAUCGGGAGGAACACCAGUGGCGAAGGCGACUACCUGGCCUGUUCUUGACGCUGAGGCGCGAAAGCUAGGGGAGCAAACGGG
rnacentral:rRNA from 1 species